UGCCAAACCUUUUUGUCAGGGUGCUUCUUUGUUCGUUCUAGAACAACUUUAUCUACAGAAGUGUCUGUUACUGUUUUGGAAGAGUAAUACUGUUCGCUUAUCCAUAUUUCCUCGUUCUGAGGAAGCCUUUUGGAUAAAUUUAGAAGGACAACCUUUGUUUUAAAGGUACACCUUCGCUUUUAGAGCAGUGAGGAUCUUAUGAGUUGAGCUUUUGUUAUUUGGGAUUUAUUUCCCAGAUAUCCGUACAAUAGUUCGUAGUAAAGAUCCUCACAAUU
rnacentral:snoRNA from 1 species